rnacentral:lncRNA from 12 species
AAAAAUAAAAACAAAAAUGAAAAUAAAAAUGGAAAUAAGAAUAAAAAUUAAAAAUAAAAGUGAAAACAAAAAUGAAAAUAAAAAUGAAAAUGAAAUUAAAAAUAAAAAUGAAAAUAAAAAUUAAGAAAAGGGGUUGGGGUGACACUGGGCUGUCCCCAAAGUGUCAUCAGAGGAGGGACGUGCUGUGCUGAUGUCACCAGGGUGGUUGGUGAUGUCCCCAGUGUCCCCAGCCCCGCCCCCAGGCUGUCCCCAGUGUCCCCAGAGUGUCCCCAGUGUCCCCAAAUGUGCCUCCAACGUCCCCAGGGUGUCCCCAGCCCCACAGGCACCUCAUUCCCUUUGUCCCCAGUGUCCCCAAUGUCCCCAGGCUGUCCCCAAUGUCCCCAGUGUGUCCCCAGGCUGUCCCCAGUGUCCCCAGAGUGUCCCCAGUGUCCCCAGUGCCCCUCUCACACAUCCACGACGAGCACAGAGUGUCCCCAGCCCCGGCACCGUGCCAGCUCCUGCAGGUACCGCGGGUCCGCGCUGGGCAGCUCCAGGUUCUCCAGCACGUGCAGCUCGUCCUGGGUGACAGCAGGGACACUGCCAGCCUGUCCCCAAAGGCUGCGUGUCCCCAGGGUGCAGCUCGCCCUGGGUGACAGCAGGGACACUGCCAGCCUGUCCCCAAGGGCCGCGUGUCCCCAGGGUGCAGCUCGCCCUGGGUGACAGCAGGGACACUGCCAGCCUGUCCCCAAGGGCCGCGUGUCCCCAGGGUGCAGCUCGCCCUGGGUGACAGCAGGGACACUGCCAGCCUGUCCCCAAGGGCCGCGUGUCCCCAGGGUGCAGCUCGCCCUGGGUGACAGCAGGGACACUGCCAGCCUGUCCCCAAGGGCCGCGUGUCCCCAGGGUGCAGCUCGCCCUGGGUGACAGCAGGGACACUGCCAGCCUGUCCCCAAGGGCCGCGUGUCCCCAGGGUGCAGCUCGCCCUGGGUGACAGCAGGGACACUGCCAGCCUGUCCCCAAGGGCCGCGUGUCCCCAGGGUGCAGCUCGCCCUGGGUGACAGCAGGGACACUGCCAGCCUGUCCCCAAGGGCCGCGUGUCCCCAGGGUGCAGCUCGCCCUGGGUGACAGCAGGGACACUGCCAGCCUGUCCCCAAGGGCCGCGUGUCCCCAGGGUGCAGCUCGCCCUGGGUGACAGCAGGGACACUGCCAGCCUGUCCCCAAGGGCCGCGUGUCCCCAGGGUGCAGCUCGCCCUGGGUGACAGCAGGGACACUGCCAGCCUGUCCCCAAGGGCCGCGUGUCCCCAGGGUGCAGCUCGCCCUGGGUGACAGCAGGGACACUGCCAGCCUGUCCCCAAGGGCCGCGUGUCCCCAGGGUGCAGCUCGCCCUGGGUGACAGCAGGGACACUGCCAGCCUGUCCCCAAGGGCCGCGUGUCCCCAGGGUGCAGCUCGUCCUGGGUGACAGCAGGGACACUGCCAGCCUGUCCCCAAGGGCCGCGUGUCCCCAGGGUGCAGCUCGUCCUGGGUGACAGCAGGGACACUGCCAGCCUGUCCCCAAGGGCCGCGUGUCCCCAGGGUGCAGCUCGUCCUGGGUGACAGCAGGGACACUGCCAGCCUGUCCCCAAGGGCCGCGUGUCCCCAGGGUGCAGCUCGUCCUGGGUGACAGCAGGGACACUGCCAGCCUGUCCCCAAGGGCCGCGUGUCCCCAGGGUGCAGCUCGUCCUGGGUGACAGCAGGGACACUGCCAGCCUGUCCCCAAGGGCCGCGUGUCCCCAGGGUGCAGCUCGUCCUGGGUGACAGCAGGGACACUGCCAGCCUGUCCCCAAGGGCCGCGUGUCCCCAGGGUGCAGCUCGUCCUGGGUGACAGCAGGGACACUGCCAGCCUGUCCCCAAGGGCCGCGUGUCCCCAGGGUGCAGCUCGUCCUGGGUGACAGCAGGGACACUGCCAGCCUGUCCCCAAGGGCCGCGUGUCCCCAGGGUGCAGCUCGUCCUGGGUGACAGCAGGGACACUGCCAGCCUGUCCCCAAGGGCCGCGUGUCCCCAGGGUGCAGCUCGUCCUGGGUGACAGCAGGGACACUGCCAGCCUGUCCCCAAGGGCCGCGUGUCCCCAGGGUGCAGCUCGUCCUGGGUGACAGCAGGGACACUGCCAGCCUGUCCCCAAGGGCCGCGUGUCCCCAGGGUGCAGCUCGUCCUGGGUGACAGCAGGGACACUGCCAGCCUGUCCCCAAGGGCCGCGUGUCCCCAGGGUGCAGCUCGUCCUGGGUGACAGCAGGGACACUGCCAGCCUGUCCCCAAGGGCCGCGUGUCCCCAGGGUGCAGCUCGUCCUGGGUGACAGCAGGGACCUGGGGACAUCGCUGGGGACAUGGUGAUAUCACUGGGGACACCAUUGGGGACAUCACUGGGGACGGGGGGGGGGGGGGGGGGGGGGGGGGGGGGGGGGGGGGGGGGGGGGGGGGGGGGGGGG